rnacentral:tRNA from 1 species
CGCGGGGUAGAGCAGCUUGGAAGCUCGUCGGGCUCAUAACCCGGAGGUCGUGGGUUCAAAUCCCACCCCCGCUACCA